rnacentral:rRNA from 1 species
GAGGCAGCAGUGGGGAAUAUUGCACAAUGGGGGAAACCUUGAUGCAGCGACGCCGCGUGGAGGAAGAAGGUCUUCGGAUUGUAAACUCCUGUUGUUGGGGAAGAUAAUGACGGUACCCAACAAGGAAGUGACGGCUAACUACGUGCCAGCAGCCGCGGUAAAACGUAGGUCACAAGCGUUGUCCGGAAUUACUGGGUGUAAAGGGAGCGCAGGCGGGAAGACAAGUUGGAAGUGAAAUCUAUGGGCUCAACCCAUAAACUGCUUUCAAAACUGUUUUUCUUGAGUAGUGCAGAGGUAGGCGGAAUUCCCGGUGUAGCGGUGGAAUGCGUAGAUAUCGGGAGGAACACCAGUGGCGAAGGCGGCCUACUGGGCACCAACUGACGCUGAGGCUCGAAAGUGUGGGUAGCAAACAGGAUUAGAUACCCUGGUAGUCCACACCGUAAACGAUGAUUACUAGGUGUUGGAGGAUUGACCCCUUCAGUGCCGCAGUUAACACAAUAAGUAAUCCACCUGGGGAGUACGACCGCAAGGUUGAAACUCAAAGGAAUUGACGGGGGCCCGCACAAGCAGUGGAGUAUGUGGUUUAAUUCGACGCAACGCGAAGAACCUUACCAAGUCUUGACAUCCCUUGACAGACAUAGAAAUAUGUAAUCUCUUCGGAGCAAGGAGACAGGUGGUGCAUGGUUGUCGUCAGCUCGUGUCGUGAGAUGUUGGGUUAAGUCCCGCAACGAGCGCAACCCUUAUGGUCAGUUACUACGCAAGAGGACUCUGGCCAGACUGCCGUUGACAGAACGGAGGAAGGUGGGGAUGACGUCAAAUCAUCAUGCCCUUUAUGACUUGGGCUACACACGUACUACAAUGGCGUUAAACAAAGAGAAGCAAGACCGCGAGGUGGAGCAAAACUCAGAAACAACGUCCCAGUUCGGACUGCAGGCUGCAACUCGCCUGCACGAAGUCGGAAUUGCUAGUAAUCGUGGAUCAGCAUGCCACGGUGAAUAAGUUCCCGGGCCUUGCACA